AAAAGAGAGGCUGCUAACCUUACCUGUGAUCACUUGGCAAUAAAAUCAUUGGGGACAGAUUUUCAGUGGUCCAACCAAUGGUCGAGAGCUGUCCAUCAUUGGGAAGAUGAACCAACCAAGGUCUGAGCUCCUGACCAACUGAAUGCUGAGUGAAAGCUGGAGAAGGAGAUCCCUGCUUGUGGCGUGGAAAAGCAGAGGAGGAUGGUCCAAAACCUUGGGACACUGCACACGCAAGAAAUACCCAAAAGAGGCCACUAGCUCCUGAUUUUGGAAUGGCUCAGCUCUGGCCAUUGUGGCCAUUUGGGGAGUGAGCCAGC